UUAAGUUUGAUUGGUUCGUUAAUUUUAGAGUCCAUCUUUAACUUGAAAUAAUCUCUUUGUUUUAGAGGUAAGUCUCUUAGAGAUAGGUUUAUCCUUUUGAAUUGGUAAUACGUAUUUGGGAUUGUUUCUCUAUAUAACAUUUAGGGUGGAGUCAUCUAUUAGGGAUAGGAGUGUUUAUUUAGAUAUCGUUUAGCAAUAGGAGUUACGUUUUCUAACAGGAGUUGGGAGACCUAAUGGGUUAUCUUUCCUAAAGAGAUAAGAGUUACAUUAUUUGUUUAGGUUGCAUGGACGGCUUACAUCCUAACAUUAAGAGGCGUACACCCUUAUUAGAUAAGGAAGAGAAUAUAUUUUUUAGAAAGUUUUGGAAAGGACCCUUAUAUAAAAGGGUUACACAUACAUGUAAUGGAGGGAUUGAAUUUUAUGAAUGAAAAAAAUUGAUCUUUGAGAUUGUGUAGAGUGUGAGAGAGUGACCUUUGUGGGUGUUUUUUCUUCUUCUUUUCUUGUGGCUCCUGUCAGAAUACUCAUAUCUGCGUGUUUUGUUCUUUCUUUUUGUGAUUUCCUUCAUGAUUUUUAUUUGUCUCUCUUAAAACGCAGUUAAUUUUGCUGGUGUUGUUUGCCGGUAAAUUUUAAUAUUGCAUUAUAUAGCGAUUUAUGGUCUAAUUGAGGGUAUGACCCUUGAUGGAGUGGAAUGUGUUGGAACAAGUUCAUGUAACCAACCCUAGAUAAUUGGGAUAUGG
rnacentral:lncRNA from 1 species